rnacentral:rRNA from 1 species
AUUGAACGCUGGCGGCAUGCUUUACACAUGCAAGUCGAACGGCAGCGCGGGCUUCGGCCUGGCGGCGAGUGGCGAACGGGUGAGUAAUGCAUCGGAACGUGCCCAGUAGUGGGGGAUAGCCCGGCGAAAGCCGGAUUAAUACCGCAUACGACCUGAGGGUGAAAGCGGGGGACCGAAAGGCCUCGCGCUAUUGGAGCGGCCGAUGUCGGAUUAGCUAGUUGGUGGGGUAAAGGCUUACCAAGGCGACGAUCCGUAGCUCGUCUGAGAGGACGACCAGCCACACUGGGACUGAGACACGGCCCAGACUCCUACGGGAGGCAGCAGUGGGGAAUUUUGGACAAAGGGGGCAACCCUGAUCCAGCCAUGCCGCGUGCGGGAAGAAGGCCUUCGGGUUGUAAACCGCUUUUGUUCGGGAAGAAAUCCUCUGGGCUAAUACCCCGGGGGGAUGACGGUACCGGAAGAAUAAGCACCGGCUAACUACGUG